rnacentral:rRNA from 1 species
AGAGUUUGAUCAUGGCUCAGAUUGAACGCUGGCGGCAUGCCUUACACAUGCAAGUCGAACGGCAGCACGGGUGCUUGCACCUGGUGGCGAGUGGCGAACGGGUGAGUAAUACAUCGGAACGUACCUUAUCGUGGGGGAUAACGCAGCGAAAGCUGUGCUAAUACCGCAUACGCCCUGAGGGGGAAAGCGGGGGAUCGAAAGACCUCGCGCGAUUAGAGCGGCCGAUGCCUGAUUAGCUUGUUGGUGGGGUAAAAGCCCACCAAGGCGACGAUCAGUAGCUGGUCUGAGAGGACGAUCAGCCACACUGGGACUGAGACACGGCCCAGACUCCUACGGGAGGCAGCAGUGGGGAAUUUUGGACAAUGGGGGAAACCCUGAUCCAGCAAUGCCGCGUGAGUGAAGAAGGCCUUCGGGUUGUAAAGCUCUUUUGUCAGGGAAGAAACACCGGCUCUAACACAGUCCGGGAAUGACGGUACCUGAAGAAUAAGCACCGGCUAACUACGUGCCAGCAGCCGCGGUAAUACGUAGGGUGCGAGCGUUAAUCGGAAUUACUGGGCGUAAAGCGUGCGCAGGCGGUUAUACAAGACAGGCGUGAAAUCCCCGGGCUUAACCUGGGAAUGGCGCCUGUGACUGUAUAGCUAGAGUGUGUCAGAGGGGGGUAGAAUUCCACGUGUAGCAGUGAAAUGCGUAGAUAUGUGGAGGAAUACCAAUGGCGAAGGCAGCCUCUCUGGGAUAACACUGACGCUCAUGCACGAAAGCGUGGGGAGCAAACAGGAUUAGAUACCCUGGUAGUCCACGCCCUAAACGAUGCUGACUAGUUGUUCGGGAUUUACAUCCUGAGUAACGUAGCUAACGCGUGAAGUCAGCCGCCUGGGGAGUACGGUCGCAAGAUUAAAACUCAAAGGAAUUG